AACGAACGCUGGCGGCAGGCUUAACACAUGCAAGUCUAACGCGUGUAGCAAUACACGAGUGGCGCACGGGUGAGUAACGCGUGGAUAUCUGCCUUUUGGUUCGGAAUAACCCCGGGAAACUGGGGCUAAUACCGGAUGGUUCCUUCGGGAUAAAGAUUUAUCGCCAAAGGAUGAGUCCGCGUACGAUUAGCUAGUUGGUGAGGUAAUGGCUCACCAAGGCGACGAUCGUUAGCUGGUCUGAGAGGACGAUCAGCCACACUGGGACUGAGACACGGCCCAGACUCCUACGGGAGGCAGCAGUGGGGAAUAUUGGACAAUGGGGGCAACCCUGAUCCAGCCAUGCCGCGUGAUUGAUGAAGGCCUUCGGGUUGUAAAGCUCUUUCGGCGGGGACGAUGAUGACGGUACCCGCAGAAUAAGCCCCGGCUAACUUCGUGCCAGCAGCCGCCGUAA
rnacentral:rRNA from 1 species